UUACAGCGCCCUAGCGCGGCCCUGGCCAGGCACGUCACCGGGGAGGGCACCGGGAGCGCGCGCGCCGCCGCCACCGCGCCCUCCGCCCGAUCGGGGCGUGCCCCCGCGCGACUGAGCUAUGCGGGGCGAAGGCGAACCCGCAGCAGCCGCCCACGUAGCCCCGUCCCUCCCGCGUGCGGGUGCCAGCUUGAGUCCCGAAAGCCGGGCGUGGCGGGCGUGGCCGGGGGCGUGGCUAGGGCGCGUCUCCGCGGCCUCAGCUCCAGUAGGAAAACAUCCUCUCACUCUGUGGCCGGAAGUUGAACUCCGGGGCAGCCCCACUGCCGCGCCGCUGCUUUAAAGGCCCGCGCUGGAAGCGGCUGAACUCUUGGCUGUGACCUCUCAGAGCCGGCUUUUAAAGGCGGAGAUCUAUUCGAGGUGUUUGGAUUACUGCAGUGCACAAAUUUCAUUCUCCCUGUUCUGGCUGAGAAUCGCUGGGCUUCCCACCGGCUACUGGUGCGACGACGUUCGCCCUAUAGGAGGCGUCAGUGUGGUUGUGGAUAUUGGCCUGCGCAGCAAAAGAAAGUGGGUAAUUUGGGCCAGUAAUAAUAAAUUUACUUGCGUUCGAAUUA